GCCUCCGCCGCCACAUGCUGGCACUCUCGCUGGCUCGCCGCCUGCCGUGCCGUCCCUCUCCUACAGGCCCGCCGCCUCCUCCUCCUCCUCCCGCGCCCAUGGCGCUGCCCGGCCAGCGUGGUCACCGCCGGCGCUCGCCGUCAUGCCGUGCGCUUGCUAGGGUUCCGCCGGCGCCGCCAAAGCCACCUCCACCAUACCUUCUCCUCCAGUCUAUCCCCAAGGCCGCCCCAGGCUAGAAGGCGGAUACCGCCGUUGCGAGCAUGACCCCCUCCUCGCUGGCGGGCUCAGCAACGACUUCGUCUCCAUCUGGAACCCAUCACCGGCGCGGCUGCCGCGACCAUAAUCACAUCCGAGAGGAGCAGCCCAUAGCGGGUCUUCCUCGUCUCCAUCUCCAAGCCACGCGAGCGCCGGAAGUGGCACAGAGCUGGUGGAGAAGGUAUCGGUGGUUGGAUUUGCCGCACGGGUGUCGGCGGCGGGAUGCGGCCUUGCCAUACUCUUAGGCAUCGGUGAAAUCCGUUCUGCAAUCUAGGAACGAGGCCAACUUCAGGAGAUGAUUGAAGCUGCACUAAAUUUAGCUACAAUGUAACAUCAAACAAUUGGUGGCCAACCUCCUACAGGAAGGAAAUUACAGUUUGGAUGAGGAUCUGUAGUCCAUAGGAUGGUCAGGUCCUGAUGGAUUCAGAAGACCAGGUCAUACCAUCAUGACUAUAUUCGAUUUGGUUCCUUAGGUACAUCAAAUGUGUCUAUCCAAGAAGAGCACAAUUUUAGAGGAGUGUUUCUUUAUGGUUCUGAUUCCCCACCCCCAUGUUAAUAUCUCUGUAUGAUUACCACAUUACAAGUCUUCUUUUAUAUCCGAAAGGGGGACUAGCAAUCUUCAUCAAGCUUAUUGGAUUGGUUGUUCAUGCCUACAUCAAUGUACUGUUCAACAUCAAGCUUAUUGGAUCAGCUGCUUAUGCCUAAAUCAACCAAACAAGUACGGAGUUAUCUUAUGUUAUUUCAAGGUAAAACCAAAGAGAUUGUUAAAUUUUUUUCCUCCUGCAUUAAAAGAACACACAGAAAACUGAAUUUCCCUAAAAAAAGGUAUAUUGAUUAUCUGGGCUUCUCCUGAAGGAUAUUUACCUACUAUUCUACCAAUCCUUUGAAGUUAUUUCUUUUACUCAGUGGUUUUGCGAGAUAUCAAAUUAUUUUUAAUUCCAGUAGUUCUUACUUAGUAUAUGUCAGCAGAUUCAUCCUUCAUAAAACGUUAUUCCCAUAUGGUUAAGGAGCAGGAAAAUGCUCAGCCAGGCUGCCUAAGAGCCUGCAGAAAUGGCUUACAAAUAACUUUUUUUAUCUUGUCAUAUUAGAUUUUUAGUGUAGUGGUCCUAGAUUGCAACCUGAGUUCAUCCUAUUCCUACUUGUUGUCAUUUUCCAACAGUAAGAAGUGGCUUCUCUUGAGAAAUGAGUAGCAUGUGCACUUUGGGUGGCUGGAUUAUAUUGUUGCAGAUAUAGUACAGUUGAUGUUGGAUGCAUUUUCCAAUCCCAUUUCCUUAAAUACUUUAUACUAGCUUCUAUUUUUGCUAUAUUGCUUUACGGAACAAUUGAUUACCUGUGAUUAGACUCUGAUUUAUGGUAUUUGCCUGUGGUUAGGCUAGGCAGAUUACACACACACAUAUAAAGUAAAAAUGGAAGGUCAAAAGAGUAAAUUAGUUGCUGCCCAUAGUACUCUGCUUUGAACCCAGACAUUACUAUAGAACUAUCGGCUAAUUAAACACAGGAAGACAUGACAUAAUAUUUGACAACACUGUUGUGAUUGUAUAUUGUUAGUUAUUCAUGCAAGGAAGAUUUUUAAAUAUAGCUUAUUAUUUGUACUUCUAUGCAAUUAAAAAAAUGUUUUUGGCAUUGUUAAGCAUUAGAUGUAUUAAAAGGAUGUAGGUUCAUCUCUCUUAGUCUUAAUUCAUACGUGAACAAUUUUCCCCAAGCGAAUACUCAAGUGAUUUCCUUCAAGCCCGGCAACGACGUUAUCAAGUUUUCUCUAUAAUUGAUUGCAGUACAUGCAAAAUAUGAUCAAAGUGAUUGAAGAUAUAUCAAUUUUCUAUGUUAGUUGUCUAUGCAAGAUAUGAGUAAAUUUUUAGGACAUCAUAAAUUGUGCUGCCGUGAAUUUAUGUAAAUUCAGUUUGUAUAUCUUAGGUUCUAGCAAUAGCUUUCCGAUUGUAUGAAUUUUGUAUAAAUUCGCCAAAGAGAUAGGCAAUGGCUAUGCGGGUGCAUGGCUCCGAUGACCUGAUGAUGAUGUCAAUAACAAAUUAUUGGAGAAAAAUAACUAAUGCUAGAAGUGCAGUCUUCACUAUGCUACAUAUAUAUUAUAUUCCUUCUGAAAUGAGAACUCUGAAAAUAAAUAUAUAUCAAGAUCAUAGUAACUAAGCGACACGAAGAAGUCAGUGGCAAUUGUCAGUGUAUCGCACAAUACCUUAUUUACUUAUUGGAGCAGGUAAAUCCUUCUAUUUUUUGGAGAAGCAAAGCUAACUACUUUGAAGCAGGUAAAUCCUUCGGUUUAUGUUGUACUUAUACAGAUACGUUGGAAUUUCAGGCUAGAUAUAUACUUUUUCCUGGUUGUUUUUAUUGAAGUUCGAGUGCUUCACAACUUACAAUAUGUUUUCUGGUUCCCUAUUCGAAGAGCUUCUAUUGUGCAUGUGGGGAAGAAGCCAUAUCACGUCUCAUAGGAAUUUUCUCGAUCACGGCAAUUAUUAGUGGAGUAUAGUAUGAUUUCAAAGAGAUGAUCACGGCAAUAAUGGCACACAGGGGAAUCGAGGGACGACACCAAAUCGUCUCCUCUCCCUUGUGGUUUAAAUACCGGAGGAAUGGGAGGAGGUGUCUUGCUCUCCCUGUUCGUUCCCGCUGCUGCCGGCGGCCAGAGCUUCCUGAUCAGAAAGCUUGUGAUGCCCACAGAGGGUGGCAAGGACUGCCUCGGUGACCUCACUGACAACCUCCUCCGGCAUCUGUUGUCCCUUCUUCAGCCCGAAGAUGCCCUGAAGACUUGUGUGCUAGACACCAGGUGGCGCGAACUAUGCAGGCGCACCACUAGCCUGCACUCCGUCAGUCUCAAGCGUUGGAUGUAGAAGUUCUCCGCCAACCUGGCGUGUGCAUGUCUCUGCUGGUCGGUCUCAAGCAUUGGUUGUAGAAGUUCUCUGCCAACCCAGCUGUACAUGCCGCAGAUUACUUCAAUCGGAAGGCGUCAUGAUGGUAUUGCUAGAGAUGUAUAAUCUGUAGAUCAUGUUGAGUUCUCCUUUACUUGAUCAUUCUUUAUUUGCUAUCCUUUCAUCCUCAAUAUUUCAGAGAUAACGCCCUAUUAUGGUAACUACUAGAGUGUGUCCUUCUUACACCCCAGUUUAAUAGGGUGUUCGCUCUUAUGGUGACACCUAACACCCUAUUAAACUGUCCAAAAGUCUUAUAUUUAGGAAUGGAGGUAGUAGAUAUAAAGAUUAAUCUUCUCCCCGCUGUUUCAUGACAGAUAUGUUGCCAUAUGUGUUAAAUCCAUGAAUAAACUAGAGUGUGCCCUUCUUUAUUAAUUCUUUUUGGAAGAGUCGGGCUAUAAUAAACAAAAUAUAUUCAGAGCCUUGAAAAGCUCUAAUAAUCAGUCAAUGGUGAUUAUUGGCUUAUCCUGAAGGUGCACUCAUUAAAAUUGGAUACUAACAUGUCUAUUUGUUAGGAUUUAGAAAGUUGGCUAAUCUUUUCUUUUGUCAGCUUUAUAGCAAGGCAGAUCUUACAUAUACAGAAUGAUCUUUAGAAUAGCGUAUGCUUUUUUGUUUAUCCAAAAUGGCUGAUGCAAUUCUAUAUUUAAUGUCUGAACUUAAAGCUGGAUACUACUAUCUGGAAGUGUACUGAGUUUGUUGUAUAGAAUGUAUUUAACCUCCUUACUAAUCAGUGUUUAGAUCUCCAUUGAUGGCCUGAGCUGAGCCGUUGGAUUCUGAUGAAGUGCAAACUAUGAACAACGUAAGUUAUAUUAAGACACUUAUUUCAUAGUUUGCACUUGACGUAUGGAUGCACACAUUAUUUUAUAUCGUCCUUUUAGCUUUACUGGUCAAAUUGUGGGAGGUUUGUGAUUAGUUGCGACAUUCAGUUUUAGAAAGAGAACUGAGUGACGAAAGCCAUUCUUUUGCAAAUUAAAACUGAAUGUGCAGGUCUCCUUAUUGUAUUGAAGCAACAACAAAGUUUAAGUUCUGAUUUCGUAGGUAAAAAAUUAAUUGCAGAUUGAAAAUUUCCUCCCAAAUACACAUCUGGUGGUUGAUGAAACUCAUCAUCACAAUACUGUGAUUUUAGAGUAGUAUGAAUUUGAAAAAAAAUACAAUGCCAAACUUGGCCUAAGCGAUGCCAUAUGAAAUUGCUUCCAUAGUUUAUAGUAAAGGCAUUAUUUUUCAGGUGGUAUAUACAACUAUACUCAACUUAAUUUCUUCUAAAAAACAUAUUUUAAAGCUACCUGAGCUCGCCACUAUCCUUACUUAUACAAGCUAAUCAACUUAAUUCCGUCUGUCUUUAUCCUUGUCAUUUACUUAGAUAGAUGUUUCUGUCCUGAAUUAUGUGGAAGGACACGAUGACUGCACCUGCAUCAGAAUGUGUUUCUAGGGAGGGUUUCUUUUAUGUUCAUUAGAAUAUGUAUGCUUACUGAUCCUAAAUCAUUCGUUCUGGUUUACUAUAGGAGAUUUUGUACCUAUUUACUUAGAUAGAUGUUUCUAGGGAGUAUUGUGCACCAAUCUGGUUGAUGUUUACAUAAUCCAUGCAGAUUUACCAAUUAGAAGAGCCAUGUAUUUAUUGUAGCUUUCUCUCUACAUCAAGUACACAUAAAUAUAAUGCCGAAGAAUGUAGUUGCUUUUAUUGUUCUGCAGAUCUUCCCCGCGAGGCGCUACCGAUCAGAUGGGCGCUGUCGUGAAGGCCGUGAAGGCGUGGCCGGCGGCAUGGGUUAGCCUGUGGGUGGUACCACCGUGCUGCUCUGGACGUGCAUUGUGGUGUUGCUCGUGGCGGCUUUCGGAUGGAGACAGAGUGCAGAACAUAUAGAAUUUGGGAGCUACUCGGGUUUGGAUCAGCAAGCCAUGUCCGUUUGGUUUGUCGAAGGAUGGCCUUUUAUCCUUUUUCUAUAAUGCCAUGAACGUCUCUGAAUUUUUACACUGCUUCCAGCCGAUGCUUAAUAUUUUUUCCAACAUAUUUGUGACUGGAGCCCACACAUACAUAGUCAUGGAUCUGAUUUUGUGUUUUGGAUCUUGCUAUUUCACUGAUUUGGAACAUGUAUAUGCAGUUCUAGGCUUCUAGCUAGAUGGAUUAAUAGAUAUGUUGGACCUAUGCAUUUUAUAUUACCAGCAUGGAUCUAUGUUUAUUAUUUGAUGCUCCUCCUUAUCCCGGGGAAGAAUUUUCUGCAAGGAGUUGUCAUUUUUGGAGAUAUGGACUUGUUGUCACUUCAUCAAUAUGCUUUCAGUGCUAUAGAGUAUGCAGUGAAAUUAGAUUAGAUUGAUGAUUAGCGAUUAACUAUAGAACUGUUGGCAGCACCAGUUUAACAUAUGUUGAUUUCUGGCCCAUCUUUUUUUGCUUUCGAGUUAAACUAUGAAUUUGAAAACAGAAAAUUAUACA